rnacentral:rRNA from 1 species
CCUACGGGUGGCAGCAGUGAGGAAUAUUGGUCAAUGGGCGCGAGCCUGAACCAGCCAAGUCGCGUGAGGGAAGACGGUCCUAUGGAUUGUAAACCUCUUUUGUCGGGGAGCAAAAGACGCCACGCGUGGCGUUCCGAGAGUACCCGAAGAAAAAGCAUCGGCUAACUCCGUGCCAGCAGCCGCGGCAAUACGGAGGAUGCGAGGGUUAUCCGGUUUUAUUGGGUUUAAAGGGUGCGCAGGGGGUCUGUUAAGUCAGCGGGCAAAGCCAGGUGCUAAACCCCGGCCCGCCGUUGAAACUGGCAGUCUUGAGUUGGAGAGAAGUAUGCGGAAUGCGCGGUGUAGCGGUGAAAUGCAUAGAUAUCGCGCAGAACUCCGAUUGCGAAGGCAGCAUGCUGGCUCCACACUGACGCUGAGGCACGAAAGCGUGGGUAUCGAACAGGAUUAGAUACCCUAGUAGUC